rnacentral:SRP_RNA from 1 species
GGACUUGGCAACGCGAGCUUAUACCUCGAGUGAGGGCAUUAAGGUGAUUGGACUUGGGCUUGGCAUUGUCAGGUUGGGCUUGUGGUGCCAUAUUACUGACUUGCCCGUUCCAAGUUGGGAGUUGGGCUAUGUGGAACGGGGGAAGGCCUGUGCCACUUGGUUCCUAGAGAGGAGGGCACCUCGUCAGGCUGGUUUCACAGAGCAGCGAAAACCUCCCUCCCUCGACAGUGGAAGGAUAACGAGACGGGUGCUCCAUGAGUCCACUACGGCCAGAUGGGCCCAGUCCAAAGGACAAUCACCUUU